rnacentral:rRNA from 1 species
UGGAGUAUGUGUUUAAUUCGACGCAACGCGAAGACCCUUACCUGGGCUUGACAUCCCCGGACGGCUCUGGAAACAGGGAUUUCUCCUUCGGGGGACCGGGAGACAGGUGGUGCAUGGUUGUCGUCAGCUCGUGUCGUGAGAUGUUGGGUUAAGACCCGCAACGAGCGCAACCCCUAAUUUUAGUUGCCAGCACUUCGGGUGGGCACUCUAAAGUGACUGCCGGUGACAAACCGGAGGAAGGUGGGGAUGACGUCAAAUCAUCAUGCCCCUUAUGACCUGGGCUACACACGUACUACAAUGGCCAGUACAACGGGAAGCGAAACCGCGAGGUGGAGCCAAUCCUAUCAAAGCUGGUCUCAGUUCGGAUUGCAGGCUGCAACUCGCCUGCAUGAAGUCGGAAUUGCUAGUAAUCGCGGAUCAGCAUGCCGCGGUGAAUACGUUCCCGGGUCUUGUACACACCGCCCGUCACACCACGAGAGUUUACAACACCCGAAGUCGGUGGGGUAACCCGCAAGGGAGCCAGCCGCCGAAGGUGGGGUAGAUGAUUGGGGUGAAGUCGUAACAAGGUAGCCGUAUCGGAAGGUGCGGCUGGAACACCUCCUU